GGUGAACGCUGGCGGUAGACCUAACACAUGCAAGUCGAACGGCAGCACAGUAAGAGCUUGCUCUUACGGGUGGCGAGUGGCGGACGGGUGAGGAAUACAUCGGAAUCUACUUUUUCGUGGGGGAUAACGUAGGGAAACUUACGCUAAUACCGCAUACGACCUACGGGUGAAAGCAGGGGAUCUUCGGACCUUGCGCGAUUGAAUGAGCCGAUGUCGGAUUAGCUAGUUGGCGGGGUAAAGGCCCACCAAGGCGACGAUCCGUAGCUGGUCUGAGAGGAUGAUCAGCCACACUGGAACUGAGACACGGUCCAGACUCCUACGGGAGGCAGCAGUGGGGAAUAUUGGACAAUGGGCGCAAGCCUGGUCCAGCCAUACCGCGUGGGUGAAGAAGGCCUUCGGGUUGUAAAGCCCUUUUGUUGGGAAAGAAAAGCAGCAGGUUAAUACCCCGCUGUUCUGACGGUACCCAAAGAAUAAGCACCGGCUAACUUCGUG
rnacentral:rRNA from 1 species